GGAAACAGAAACCAUUUUCCUUUUUAACCCUAAAACUCCCAUUCAAAAAGCAUCUUCAAUGCCGAUUCAUUCCGAGAUCGGAGGAAUUUUUGUUGGAGAAUCUCAACAAGAUGCCGAAAAGCUCGCUGAAAUCCUUGAAAUUCAUUACCAUAAUCAAAGACUUUUGGGUUUAUUUCAGACCUUUUAAAGACCGGAAUUGUCGAUCCGCAAUCCAACUAUCGAGGAUCUUCUGAAACUACUUGGAAGGUGCCGAAAUUUACUCUCUCAAACAUAUCCGAAAGGAAAAAGGCAUUCUCAUUUUUUAUUUUUUUUGGAUUUUCCAGUAUUUAUGUUGGAUAUCUACUUGAUUUUGUCCCCGAUAAUCACCGAAAAUGUUGACAAUUUUGCCAUUUUAUUGAAAAAUCAGAAAACAAAAAAAAUCGGAAAAAAAUCUUGCCAUUAUCCAAUAGAGAUUCGAAAAUUUGGGGGUUUUUGGUUUCACUGAGCCAGCGAUAGUGAUAUUACUGGAGAUCUACCUUACCAACUGAUGGUGCUCAUGCCAAAUGAAUUCAACGCCAGAAUGCAGGAAAAUGGCAGAGAGGAUUGGCAUAAGAUUCAACAUAUACCCUCAAUCGAAAUAAAACAGUGAGCUAUCAAAGGCCUGUGAAUUUGGUUGCUUGUUUCUUCCACCAACGGAAACACAUGGAAGGGCAAAUUCAGCAUCUCUACAAAAGCGGUUUACACUACAACAAAUGUGGGAAUGGACGCAUAGACGGUAUUUGUGGAAAUGACAGUGAGGCAAUUGGCAUCCCUAAAGCAUCACCUCCAGUAGGAUCAAGGGACAUUUUGGUCUUUUUAAAUAUAUUUGGAAUAGAUAGGAUUAAAAACAUGGACGGUUUUAUAUAUAUAUAUAUAUAUAUAGGUUUUUCUUGCUUUGAGAAUAGUAUACAAACACUUUAAAGAUUCAGGUCAUAUGUGAGCUUCCCUUUGUUACAUGUGCUGCCUAGAGUAGAAGAGUGGAAGAAUGUUAUGAUUAUUGGCAUAACAGAUUGCAGGCUGUUCGAUUUUAAUGGAUGUCAAUGCACUAUCCUUCAUAUUUACUUCUGUUGCAUCCGUGAAGAAAUUUUAUGGCUUGGACUUCAAGGAAAUAAAGGUGCACCGGAAUUGAGAUUCUUUAUUCUUGAUUUGGUUGCGUCAUUUUUACUCAGACCUGAUGUCAUAUUUAAUUUGGUGAAGUGUGCCAAAUACCUUUCUUUCAAAGGAUGCAUCUCAUAUUUUCUUUGUUUUUAGCUUGCUUUUAUAUGUUUCCUGGAAACUUUGAACGUAUGCUAUUGCUAUGCAUCUAAAAAGAAUGCAGCCAACAAGUUGAUUAAUUUUUUCCCUCUAACUUUAUUUUGUAAGGUUGUUGAGCAUUCAUACUUUUACUGGGGGUCAUAUUCAAUCCAUCAACAACAAGUUUCGGUUGGUUGUACCUUUGGUAGAUCCUAUUGUUUUUUUGAAUAUCUAGCAGCUUUGGCAGUGUGACAAUUUGUUUAUUCUGGAUGUUCCAUUUUGUCUAGUAUAUUUAAUAAUUGUGGUUGUGGUUGUUUGGGAUUGGAUUUUUCAUUUUUCUUAUUUUUUUGAAUAAUUCCUUACCAAGUAGAAUGUAAAAUUUUAAAGUAUGUUCAUUCUUCCUUUAGCUUACUUGUAUGAGUAUCCUUGAAAAUUGAUUUUAUUUAUCAUCAUUUAGUUAAGGUGGAUGGGUACAUAUGAUGUAGACCAAGUGGAACUCACUUAUCUGAAGGCCAAGUGGAUACUAAGUUUUGUCAUGUUAUGGAGAAAAGAAGUUCUAAGCCGAUUAAACUGUGAGUUUCUUCUAAGAUUGAUUUGUACAGUCACUUGCAAAAAUUACCUCAUUGUACCUUGAAACAAGCUUGCUCUUCUUUUUUCCUCUUCUUCUAUACUUACAAAUUGCAGCUGGAAGAUCCAAAGGAUCAGAGCCUUCCAAGCAAAUUCCCGCUUCAAUAUCUUGAAAAUACACUUGAUGGAUAGGCCAUUUUAUGCCGGAUUGCUAUUGCCGGAGUAGAGGUAAUCUUGUGUGUGAACUUUCACCAUGAAAAUAUGUUGAUGCAUUUGUGGAGCAGGCAUGGAAAUGACUACAUUGAAUUCUUAAACAAGGGUGUAAAAGGGUUUGAAGACGAAAAUUGUAAGUGUCUACUUAACUCAGGCAAAUUAUGAAGCCUUUUAAUCCAUCCUUUUUGUAUGUUCUGAGCAUCGAGGAUGGCUCUUGAUACAGGUAAAUGGGUUCAAUUUGACAAUGACCAUCCAAUUCCAUAGAUGGAGGAAGACAUCACAAAGCUCUCGGGUGGAGGUGAUUGGCACAUGGCAUACAUUUGCAUGUAUAAAGCUCAAGGAGUUUAUAUUUAAAUUUAAUGGUAAACCUAAGCUAAAGUACUUUUACACAGUCGAUCAAUGACUUACAUUUUGUGUAGAUGGGAAAGGAAAAGUAUGUGUUGUUAAGGCACUUGGUUUAUAAUCUGUACAAUUUGUCUUCUUGCUUUUCAUAGAAGGGAGACUCAGUUGGAGGGCCACUCCAUUAAGUGGCCUUGAUUAAAUAAACUCUGCUUGAUUAUAUCCAAUGAUUGAAGUCCCAA